ACCAUGCAAACUUUUUCUUGUUGUUGUAUCGUAUGGAUUACUUCCUAUUUUUACGUAAUGAAAUCGUGUUGGAUCUCGUUUUUUCUUGGUGUGAUUCUAGAGAUGAUUACCAUACAAAAGGUAAUCAGAUUGGUGGAUUCAAUACGCUACAAGCUUGCAUCCAACAGUUUUGCAGAUUGAAAAAACUUGUUGCAAUUCAAGAGGCUGAUCCGAUUCAAAUGGUUAAUGGAUUUAAAAAGUUGCGAUCCAAGUGAUUGAUGGAUUCAAAAAGUUGUAAUCAAAGUAGUUGUUUACCAUAUGAUCCUAAAAAGAUCAUGUUCAAUCCUCAAUCACAUGAAGAACGAAGAGAACGAAAAAAGCAAUUUGGCAGGCAGAAACCACUAAUUUUACAUACGAUUUUUUGUCUUUUAAUCGUUGCAAAUGAUAAAUUACAAAAGGAUGAGUUAAACAACAUCCCGACUUUCAUUUUAACCCCUUGAGCCACUUCCAUCACGUGAUCGUUUUCGUCACGUUCCAGUUGUCAUGCAAUGUGUUGUAUAAUGUUUAUUUGUAUAUAUAGUACUCAUUAAACGUUCUUCUUUUAUAGUUUCGGAAAUUUUAUCACGUUAUGUUACAUCCAUUUAACUUUAAUCAGCAAGACAUCGGGAUCAGGUUGUGCUGUGCAGUUUUAUAUCUUCCGAUUUACGCAAUCGAUAUUUUAAUUAAGGAAAAAUAUUAAAUGAUGUUUUUACUGCUUCUAAUCGCUACAGGUGUUCAAACGCCCACUUGGAUGAUUACGUGACUCAUUCGCUUCUUCAUCCAAUUAUCAGCUCGUCACCUCGGGUGCCGUUUUUCAUCCUGGAAACAUCACGAAACUUGCAUUCGAUGCAGGGGGAAAAAUCUGUUAUAGAGGAAAAAGAUGAUGCUUUGAUAAUGUUUUUCUCAGUGCUCAGUGGGAAAGUUGCUUGAUUGAUCGUCCAGUUCUUGUAACUCUUUAUUCAUUUACACAUAAUUUAGUUAGACAAACGAAUAAAGAAAUGCAAAACAAACGAGUAAACUUCACUGAGUUGUUUACAUAUGAACCAUACUAAAUCGAAUCGUGAGUGAAGCAACACCUGACUAAUCUGGGAAAAAGAAAAACAAGGCUGUUUUUUUUACAUCUACAUUGAUUGCUAGCAGAACUAAGAAAAGUUUGCACAAUUGUUACAACAUAAAUUUUGUAAUUUUGAAGAAUUUGAUUCCCUAAACCAUCCCCCCUCUUUCAACUAUAGCAUUUAAUGUCUCUCGAAUUGGUACAUUAAAAUCAUUAUUAUUUACAGACAUAAACGUAUAUUCAUCGACUGUCCCCAGGUUAUCUGCUAGCUAAUGACAGCAGAAAGAAAAUUAAGUUCUGUACACAUCUGAACAUUAGACCACUCCUAGCAUAUUUUCAAAUCUAUAAUUGUAUAAAACGAUGCAUAAAAGAAUAAAUAUUUUAAGAUUUUCCAAGUAAGUAAUCGAGUGUUAUUCUCCAGUAUCAUUCUUAUAAUAUCAGUCAGUAGUGAUCAAAAUACAGGAGUUAAACUGCAAAAAAUAUUAUAAUUACAUCUGUUGCACUGUUACUAUGCGCAUAAAGUAACAACACACCUGUCAUAAGAAGAGAAUACAGUAUGAAUAAAAAUUAAAUAAUAAAAAGAGAACGUUACGUUUGAGAUAAAAGAGUGAUUGUGGAUUUAUAACUUAGGUAUUUUAACCUCUCAUAAAAAUUUAAGAUCUAAAUUAAAUAUAAAAAUGUUGAAAUGUUGGUUUUAUCUCGUAAUAAUUUUGACGUGACAGCACACCUGUCGUUAUGUUUACAUUAUAAAAUACACUAAAUACGGUAAUGUUCGUCAUCCAGGCCUAUAGGCUCAGUGUUAAAUCCAUGUAAUUGCUACUCUGGCUACGAACAAAGCAAUCAAGUUGGGAUGGGCACAUUUUGCUCUAGGCAUGUUGUUAUGCCUCCUGACGAUGUUUUAGUCUCUCUCUUUUUUUUAGAUUUGUAGCCGCCUCCAAUAAUUGACUUACAAUUGCAAUCACUUGAAAGAUUUAAGAGAUUGAUAGUUUCUGCACAUCUGUAGUAAUCCUUCACGAGAAUUGCUUUUUCUUCCACGUCAUUUUUCCCCUCUGUCGUUUAUUAAUAAAUUUUAAAGUGCAAAUUUAUUUUCGAGUGGGUUUCGUUCGCGUUAAAAUUUGUCACUUUUAACGUGGAAUGAUUUUUUAAACCGUCGUUCGGCUUUCUUUAAUCGUAAACGUUUGAGGCCUGCCUUGGGUUUAUCUUGAUUAUCAAAAUUUCCUCCAAGCCUACAUCACCAAUCAAGGAGGAUCUAUUAUAAGUUUAAAUAGUCUUUCAUCAGCUUAGUAUUCUGUUUAGCUAUUUUUUUCCGUUUUAUUAUUAUCGGUAAGACUGCCUCUGGUCGGUUUUGAAAUAUUACAAAACAACAAAUUUAUGGGAAAAAGGUGUAGUUGCGUAAUUACUAAGAUCAUAAGCAAUUUUGCAAACUGGAAUAUAUAUAUAGGUAUAGAUCUUAGGUUAAAAAAAUCUGUUAGUAUUAUCGUAUAGCGUACCAGUAGCUUUUUGAGAGGAACCCCUCCCGAUAAACGUGCAGUCAUUCUUUGGUAUCAUCGUGACCGGGUAAAGCGUUGUAAUACAUAGCCCGUAGCAAUCCUAAUAAUACGUUAUACUUACCUUGUAAUGGUCGACCGGAUUUUGCCACUGAUUGCACACAAAUAUUUAGCUCUGGGCCACCAUCACGUGAUCAUUCCUCCCCCUCUGCAUAUACAUUCAGUCGAAUCACACACUAUCGAAUAUCGAAUGAAGCAGUUUUUUUCUUAUUAUAACCCUCCUUCCUCCGUUUCUUCUUCUUAUCCAUCACUAAAUGGGCACGAAACGUAUAACCAGAAUAGAAAUAUAGGAUAAGUUUUUCAUAAAAAUAAUUAG
rnacentral:lncRNA from 1 species